rnacentral:rRNA from 1 species
GGGUGAGUAACACGUGGGUAAUCUGCCCUGUACUUUGGGAUAAGCCUUGGAAACGAGGUCUAAUACCGAAUAUUACCUUCUUCCGCAUGGGAGUGGGUUGAAAGUUCCGGCGGUACAGGAUGAACCCGCGGCCUAUCAGCUUGUUGGUGGGGUAAUGGCCUACCAAGGCGACGACGGGUAGCCGGCCUGAGAGGGCGACCGGCCACACUGGGACUGAGACACGGCCCAGACUCCUACGGGAGGCAGCAGUGGGGAAUAUUGCACAAUGGGCGAAAGCCUGAUGCAGCGACGCCGCGUGAGGGAUGACGGCCUUCGGGUUGUAAACCUCUUUCGACAGGGACGAAGCGAAAGUGACGGUACCUGUAGAAGAAGCACCGGCUAACUACGUGCCAGCAGCCGCGGUAAUACGUAGGGUGCGAGCGUUGUCCGGAAUUAUUGGGCGUAAAGAGCUCGUAGGCGGUUUGUCGCGUCGACUGUGAAAACCUGGGGCUUAACUCUGGGCUUGCAGUCGAUACGGGCAGACUUGAGUUCGGUAGGGGAGACUGGAAUUCCUGGUGUAGCGGUGAAAUGCGCAGAUAUCAGGAGGAACACCGGUGGCGAAGGCGGGUCUCUGGGCCGAUACUGACGCUGAGGAGCGAAAG